CAGUCGCCGCGGGAACACGUAGGGUGCAAGCGUUAAUCGGAAUUACUGGGCGUAAAGCGUGCGCAGGCGGUUUGUUAAGACGGAUGUGAAAUCCCCGGGCUCAACCUGGGAACUACAUUCGUGACUGGCAGGCUAGAGUAUGGCAGAGGGGGGUGGAAUUCCACGUGUAGCAGUGAAAUGCGUAGAGAUGUGGAGGAACACCGAUGGCGAAGGCAGCCCCCUGGGCCAAUACUGACGCUCAUGCACGAAAGCGUGGGGAGCAAACAGGAUUAGAUACCCCAGUAGUCCCUGUCUCUUAUAC
rnacentral:rRNA from 1 species